rnacentral:rRNA from 1 species
UGGCUCAGGAUGAACGCUGGCGGAGUGCCUAACACAUGCAAGUCGAGCGGCAGCGCGAGUAGUUUUACUACUUGGCGGCGAGCGGCGGACGGCUGAGUAACGCGUGGGAACAUGCCCCAAAGUGAGGAAUAACUGCCCGAAAGGGUAGCUAAUGCCGCAUACGAUCUUCGGAUUAAAGGAUUUAUCCGCUUUGGGAGUGGCCUGCGUACGAUUAGAUAGUUAGUGAGGUAAUGGCUCACCAAGUCUACGAUCGUUAACUGGUUUGAGAGGAUGAUCAGUCAGACUGGAACUGAGACACGGUCCAGACUCCUACGGGAGGCAGCAGUGAGGAAUCUUCCACAAUGGACGAAAGUCUGAUGGAGCAACUCCGCGUGCAGGAUGAAGGCCUUCGGGUCGUAAACUGCUUUUAUGAGUGAAGAAUAUGACGGUAACUCAUGAAUAAGGGUCGGCUAACUACGUG